ACAGCAGUCGCCACGGUAAUACGAAGGGGGCUAGCGUUGUUCGGAAUUACUGGGCGUAAAGGGCGCGUAGGCGGCCAUUCAAGUUAGAUGUGAAAGCCCUGGGCUCAACCUUGGAAUUGUAUUUGAUACUGUUUGGCUUGAGUUCGGGAGAGGUGAGUGGAAUUCCCAGUGUAGAGGUGAAAUUCGUAGAUAUUGGGAAGAACACCAGUGGCGAAGGCGGCUCACUGGACCGACACUGACGCUGAGGCGCGAAAGCGUGGGGAGCAAACAGGAUUAGAUACCCCGGUAGUCCCUGUCUCUUAUAC
rnacentral:rRNA from 1 species